UGGGGGAGGGGCGGGGCGGCCGCGAGAGACCCGGGAAACAUGGCUGCUCGUCCUAGUUCGGCGUCGCGGCGUGGCUACCAGCCCCCGGAUCCGAGUUGGGAGAGGUGCCAAAGUUGAGACCACACUGCUGGCAACAUGAUGUGAGACAGUGCCUUUCCAGAGGAGUAAUCCCUUUAAAGCCAACCAAUCAAGUGCACAGAUGUGCAGGCUUCCAGCAUUGCUAAACAGAAGCAAAGAGCUCACAUUGGUGUACCAGGAGUGAAGAGAAUGACUUGGAAGCCCAAACCCUCAUUAAGAACAUUGUAUGGAAACAAAAUUGUAAAAAAAAUAUCAUAAACUGAUCACCAAAUCAAAAUAUUAAAUCUAACUUGUUUUAGAAGCAUCUUUAUACAUUUUGAUAACAGCUUUUGUAUUAGUGUUAGAAAAUUUGAAAGAAGGUUUCCUUAAAUGUCAAUCAUUACAGAAGCUGAACCAUCAAAAGUAUUUUUUGCCUCAGGAGGCUGAGGCAGGAGGAUUUCGAGUUCAAAGUCAGCCUCAGCAAAAGCAAAGCACUAAGCAACUGAGACCCUGGGUCUAAAUAAAAUACAAAAUAAGGAUGGGGUUGUGGCUCAGUGGUCAAGUGCUUCUGAUCAAGUUCCCACCUACCCACCCCCUGCCACAAAAUUAUUUUUUGAGUACUGACCAUUUUCCAACAUAUUUUGAAAGAAGAAAUUUUCUUGUUUAUUCCUAAGAAAGUUUUAAUAUGAUUUUUUGUCUAUUUUUUAUUAUCAAAAGGAAAUAGUAAUAUAGCUUAGCUAAAGUUAACUGAUUGUCCUAACAAGACUUGACUAAACAAAAAAAAGUGCUCUUAAAUUUACAGUUUUUAAAUUAAAUUUUAUUGCAUACUAUGGUAGUCAACAAAUGUCCUGAGUGAGUCUACAUUUUAAAAAAUAUAGUAAGAAAAUAAGCCCUAUAUCAAGGAAUCUUGGUAGAAUUUUGAUAUGUAAUAGGAACAGGUGGAGUUCCUCAAUGAGUGAUCCUAUAUAGAUUAUAGAAGGUUAGAUUAUAAAAGAUAUAGUCUCUAACUUCUGAAAUGGCUUGAUUUCCACUGAGGAGAAUAAAUGAGAUACAAUUCAAAAUUUUUAAUCCCUAGAGAAAAAGAUGGCUUUCAAGUAAGGAAAUGUUCCAAAAUGUUUUCCAUCAAGAAUCAUUCCAGACAAAUGAGCAGCUCAUUUUGUUCUCAAAGACACAAGCAAUGUGUGUUCUUAGUCUCUUUUGAUAUGUGUUGAAAAGUACUCUUUUAUAAAUAUGGACAUUAUUGCUACUGCCAUUUUAGAUGGUUUUUUUCUUGUUUGGUCUCUAAAGAUGGAGACCCUUUGGUUAGCAACUUUCUCAUAAGUCAAGCUAAUGUAUUCACAGUUCAGCUUUUUAUUCUUCAAUUGAAGCACAUAUACUGGAGCCUAGCCAUAGUACUCUUUCACCUACACUAUGGAUCUGCUGCUUGGACCCCAAAGACAAUGAUAUGGAAAGACUCCAGCUUAAUUAUACUCUCUUUUGUCUCCUAUAUAAAUAGCUUUUAGAAAUGUAGAUUAUUCUUUUGAAAUCCAUGGUAACAAAUGUGAAUACUAUGAAUUUUGAUUUGAAGAGCAAAGGAAUGUUGAGACCCAGGAUCUAAAAAGUUAUUCCUAAUUUUCUUUUCCUUAAUAAAAUAUUUAACGUUUUUAAAAAAACAUUGAUUGAAUAGUUACCAUAUCAAUAGAUUGGUCUUAGAGAAAAGACAGUUAGAUGAAGAUGUCCAUAAUAUGUGACUUUAAAAAUUAAGCUAAUCAUAGAAAUCUUAAAAGCAGAAUAAAGGUGGUUUAUUUUGAAAGAGAAAAAAAAAACCUAUCACCUGUACACUUGUUUUGAAUCACUAAAAAUUCUGUGAGUCAGCUCCUUAAAUAUAUUUAUUAAAAAUAAUUUGGAGGUAGCAAUAAGAGGAAAAUUUGUUUACUGUUUACCAGGAAUAAAACCAGAGGUAUAGGUCUUAUUUUUAGUAUUAAGAUAUAGCUGUAUAAAAAAAAAUGCCUUAAAGAUAAAUAAUGGAAUGAGGAGCCAUAGAAUAAGAAUGUGACUAAAGACAAUUUAGAUUGGAAAAAAAAGCAAUUAAUUUAGAGUGUACGAAUUUGUUUUAAUUCAUCUGGGGUUGUAUUGCACCUCUAUAAAGAAAGGGUACUAAAUAUAUUAGGAUAGAAGGGUAGAGAUCAGACUUUAUAAGAAUUUCCAAUGUAUUUGCUAUUUGCAAAUGAUAUUCAUAAUCUUUAGCAUACAUGCAAAAUUGUCCUCUCAGAUUCUUUGCUUUGUAAUGGCAGUUGUUAUUUGUUCUUACAUAUAUUGAUCUAUUUUCAAACAUAUAUUCUACAAUUCUUCAUGAAUUAGAGAUCAGUUUGUUGCAUUCUGAGAAGUUAGUAAAUUUUUAUUGUAUUUCUAGUCAAAUGUUGAGUUCCUUUGGAAGAGUAUGCACCACCUUAAACUUUCUCUGGAAAUUCUGGAUUCUAGCACUUUUAACGUAAAUAUUUUUAAUUUAUUUGCAUAUGACCAAAUGAGAUAGCCUUGGUAGGUAUUUGAGGACUCUUACCCAGCAGAGGAACAUGUUUUACUCUGCUAGAUUGGUGUUCUGGCCCAAUAAUUUACCUGAACUCAUUCUACAUAAAUUCUUGUGUUUGAGAAUUAUAUGACUUUCACAUAUAUUUACUUACUCAAAGGCAAUUUUAAUAAAUGUGAUAAAUAGGCUGGGAUGUAGCUCAGUGGAGGAACACUUGCCUCAUAUGCACAAAGCCCUGGGUUCAAUCCCCGGUAUCACAAAAAAAAAAAAAAAAAAAAGGAAAAGAGGCCAAAGGAAAAGAAACAAAGUGUGACAAAUACUUUUCCCUCAGCUGGCCAACUCACUAUGUCUGAGCUGAUGUGAGAAAGUACUGCUGAGGGUAAAGCCGAAGAGCAGGCAAGUUCAGGAUGCAAGUGUGUGAACAUGUGUGACAAGCACGUUGACCAUAGUAUCAUGUUACUUUUUAUAAUAGCUAAAGAAAGGAAGAAUAUAUUCAUAUGCCCACGAAAAAGGCCAGAGAGGGUAUGUACCCAAACAAAAUGUUUUUUUAAAUUGUUUUUACAGUGGUUUUAUUAUGGGUGAUGAAGUUAUAAUUUUUUUUGGGGGGGGGUUGCUUUUCUUAAUUUUUGAAGUGUUCUGGUUGAUAAAUAAUUUUUUUUCAAAAGAAAAACAGUUGUUUUUAAUGGAAAAACCUAGGUGUAGCUGAUAUCUGUGUUAGUCAUAAUUCUUGGAUGAAAACAACAGAAAUUUACCCCGACCGAUAAGCAGAAAGCAGUUUUUAAAUAAGGCUAACACAGAACCAAAGAACAAGGUCCAAAAAAUGAGCAGUAAAUGGAAUGCUGGGCACCCUGGAGCACAGCCAAGAGGACACUAUAGGAUACUCUGCAGAGACCUCCACCAGAGAAGUCAUCUCUAAGCGGUGGACAGCCCGCCACACCAACCCUACUGCUGCAAAUGCAUCCUGCAUUUUUGUGUCACUCCCUUAAGGUUUGAAGCCCUUAGCAAGAAUAUUUGCAGAUGGCCCAGCUGUCAGAGAAAAAGAUUAUGUGCCCCCUUUAGUUUCCACAGUGGGAUGUGUAACCCUGCCUCCUAGCUAUUCUAGGAUUCUGCCCAAAGAGUGUUCUGAUGCUAGGAGACCAAAGCAAAAAAUUCCACAAAAGUGAUCUAAUUCAGUAUCACUGUGAAAGUUUUCUAAUGAUCCCUAUUACCCCCACCUCAGCUUCUCUCCUGAUUGCUACUACUUACUAGAGAGACUACACCACUUACCUAGGAACAACCUAAAGCAGAGCUAAUAUAUGGAAUCCUAAUGUUUUUUUGAAGGUAUCCCUUUCCCAGUCCUAUGUCAGAAUAAACAAUAUAUCGGUGUGAAUGAAAUACUUAUCAAAGCAGAGCUGUUGAUAACCAUAAGACUUUGAGGAAAAUAUCCCCAGUAAAGAUAUUUGAUCUUAAAUUGAAAAUAAUUUAGUCUUAAGGGGUAAUCAAAAGAUAGGAAUAACCAACUUGUUAUAUUUCAUGCAUAAAACAUAAAUAUCAAGUGACGUAUUACUGAAAAUGAGUUCCUAUGUGCUACUCUAAGUACACAAUUCAGGCUCAAAUGCAGAACUCAGCUAAAGUGUAUGAGAUUUACAGUCAAAGUCUUUGGAAGUAGAUGAGUAGUCCUAGGCUAAGUAAGAGUUACAGGAAGGAUGCAGUCACUUUAGGACCAUUUUGAAGAAAAAAUACUGAUAGUAAAAGAAAUUCAGGACAACAAACACAUAAAAGAGGAACAUAUUCCUAGAAACAAAGAUGAAGGUCAUCAAGGAUAUGCUUAUAGAAAACAUAUCAAUACUGGAAUAGUUUCCUCUCUCCCACCAUUUCAGGUCAGUUAGCUGAGAUUGCUUUUCAGCUAGAAAAAAAAAAUCAUAUCCUUUCAAGGACUCUAAACAAUGUUAUAGGAGUUCAACAGUUUUAUGUUUCUAUUAAAGCAUGGAAUAACUGUUACAUGAAUAGAAGUUCUUUUUAAGUAAGUGCCCAUAACUACUUUCCAGAGGAGCAGUGCUAAAGAUUCUAUUCAUUGAUAUACAAAAUGUUCUUUAUCUUAUGGAGUAGAAUUUAACUGUUUUCUCAGAUUAUUUAAUGCAAAUUAUGUCAGACUGCUAAUUGUUCAACAAAAUCCAUUUCCUCUUCUUCCUGAACACAAAGUUUGGCAGUGCUUCCCAGUUGCCAAUGCAGUUACAUGUGUUCAUGUGACUGAGUCCUAGCAAGUAGAGUGUGAGUAAAAAUGUGUUGCACUUCAAGGCCCUAAAUCACCCAUGCUUGCCAGUUGAGAUGGAUAUGACAGAAUGACCUUAGAAAUCAUGAGGUGGAAACUCUCUCAGCCUGUGUCCCUUAGGAGAGCCAUCUCACCAGCUUAUUAACGUAUCCAUCAAGAGAGCAACUGUGACCAAGACAGAAACUUUCAUGGUGCUGUGCCAUUACACACUUGGUCUAUUUGUUACUGUAGCUUCUGCUAACUAAUACAAUAAUAAACUUAUUUAUUUAACCUUUGUUUUCCUUCCAUUUGCAAUCUUAUGGAUAAAUUGUAAAUUUGAAUACUGUUGAAUCUGCAAUGUAUUGCUUUGAAUUACAGGCUUAAAGCAUCACAAAACAAAAUAUAAUCUAAUGAAAAUAUUAAAUAACACAUACUUAAUGAAGACAGUUCUAAGGGAGUCUAUAGAAAUGACAUGUAAAUAUAGCUACCAUAAAAUUAGUGCUUGGCUCAUAGAAGUAUAAAAUAAAUGUCUAUUAUCUUAUUAAUAAAUGAUUCCUCCUAAUGAGUUCUAGACUAACAAUUUAGUAGCUUGGUUGCUUGUUGGACAUUUCUAAAUAGCUGUCCUGCAGGGACAUCCACAUGAUAUUUCCAAAACUAAUCUUCCUUACCAGCCUCUGCUCACUCUGCCUCCACCAGACUAUGAUCCUCCCAAUUUCCCUCUUUUUAUCAGUGGCACCCUUAAAAUUGUCCUUCAUUGACUCCCAUAGCCAAAUGGUUGUUCCUAAUUUUUAAAACUUGUUCUUUUUUAGACAUACAUGACAGUAGAGCAUAUUUUGACAUAGUACACAUACAUGGUGCAUAAAUUAUUCUAAUUAAGAUCCCAUUCUUGUGAUUAUACAGGAAGUGGAGUUUCACUGGUGAUGUAUUCAUAUAUGAACAGAGAAAAGUGAUGUCCAAUUCAAUCUACUGUAUUUCCUAUUCCCAUUGUCCCCUUCCUUCCUUCCCCUUUGUCUAAUCCAAUGAACUUCUAUUCUUCUUCUAAUUUCCCUCCCAGUAUCUUUCCUCCUUUCAGCCCCCUUUUUACCACUGUAUCUAAGACUAUUCACAUUAUUUCCAAUCUCCCCCAUGUCCAAAUCCCUACCCUGUGCUAGUAGUUCCUAGGUUUCUGGUUUUCUCACCUGUGGUAUUUCAGAAAAGGGUUUCAGGACCAAUAUGGGAUUGCCAACUUUAAAUUUUGCCAGACAAAAACAUUCUUUAAAAAAAAAAAAUCUAUGACAGAUUGGACACAGUGGCACAUGCCUGUAAAUCCCAGCUACUUAGGAGGUUGAAGGCAGGAGGAUCACAAGUAUCACUCAUUUUUCUAUAGACAUUUUAAGGUUUUUAUUUGUUUAUUUUUCAGUGUUAGGAAUCAAACCUAACACUGUGUGUGUGCUGGGCAGGUCUCCUGUGUGCUGGGCAGGCACUCGACAGCUGAGUCACACCCUAACCUUAUAUUUUUUUCUGUGGACUAUUUAAACAAUGGUAAUAAUGUGUAAGGUACUCAACUUCAGAAUACAGGACAAUCUUUUAGAUUAAAUAAACAAUUUUACAAGAACUUAUUACAUUGUCCAAGAUCAGGUGAUUGGAAGCUCUCAUGUGGCAUUGACCCUCAGGUCUCAAUAUUUUCUCUCACAGCCAGAUGGAUACUCCUGAGCUCCAGUUACAGUGCUUUUCUGAUCAACAAUAGGUCCCCUCUGGCUUAUUCUCCAUCUGGCAUUAAGUUCCCAAAAGGGAGACCCCACACAAUAAUUGCUCUGCUUUGAAUGUGUCUCCCCAAAGUUCAUGUGUUGGAAACAAUCCCCAAAUUAAUGUGUUUAUGGGGACCCAUGGGAAGAUGGGAUCUUUGGGUUGUUAUUAGGAUUAGAUGAGGUCAUCAGGGUAGGGCCCCUUGAUUGGAUUAGUGGCUUUAUAAAAGAGGGAGAGAGGCCCUAGCUACCAUGCUAGCUCUUUCUUAUCAUGUAGUGUCCUCUGCCAUCUUAUGAUGCAGUGAGAAGUCCCCACAGACCCUGUGUAGUUGCCAGAAUUAUGUUUUGGACUUCCUGGCCUCCAGAACCAUGAGCUAAAUAAACUUUCAUUCUUUGAAAAUCA